UGUGCGGGUGGUUAAUUAUAUAUGGAGUUGAGUAGCGAUGUGUCUAAAUUAAAGAGGAACUUGCCAAUUUUGGUCGCUGAGAUAAUAUAAAACUUUUUCUAUAGAGAUUAAAAGAAAACGUAACUUUGAAAUCCAAUUAUAACAGUUCAGAUUAUCGAACGUCUUGUCUACCUUAAUUAGUGCCUAGUGGCACCAUAAAAAAAAAAAAAAAAAUCCUUUUUUGCGGAGAUAAAAUGGUUAAUCGUUUUUUUAUAAUCUAUUUAGGGGAGGACCACGCAAAAACUUACUUACUUGGAAAAAAAAUAAACAUCAUCUCACUCACUCUCUCGGUGGUGACUUUAUAUAUUAAAUAUCACCGACCGACAGGUCUGAAAUUAUAUUUGUGGAUACAUAUUUUUGGAGUGAAUUGUUGUACUAUCUUUAUAUAUGCUAUAAUAUCUUGUAGGAUGUCAAAAAAAAAAAAAAAAACAACUAUAUCUUGUAUUCGUAUAACUAAGUUUUACACAUGUGUAACCCUACGUUUAAUUUGGUUAGGAUUUAUCUUUCAAACCUUUUUUUUUAUAAAAGAUUUAUAGGAACGUUAUCG
rnacentral:lncRNA from 1 species